AAGAUAAUGACCUGGAAUAGGUAUAUAUUUGGAAAAUAUAAAUAUAGAAAUAAAAUUUCUAUUAUCUUA
rnacentral:tRNA from 1 species